GCUACGGGUGGCUGCAGUGGGGAAUAUUGGACAAUGGGGGAAACCCUGAUCCAGCGACGCCGCGUGAGUGAAGAAGUAUUUCGGUACGUAAAGCUCUAUCAGCAGGAAAGAAAAUGACGGUACCUGACUAAGAAGCCCCGGCUAACUACGUGCCAGCAGCAGCGGUAAUACGUAGGGGGCAAGCGUUAUCCGGAUUUACCGGGUGUAAAGGGAGAGUAGACGGGUGGGCAAGUCUGGAGUGAAAUGGCGGGGCCCAACCCCGGAACUGCUUUGGAAACUGUGAAGCUGGAGUGCAGGAGAGGUAGGCGGAAUUCCUGGUGUAGCGGUGAAAUGCGUAGAUAUCAGGAAGAACACCGACUGCGAAGGCAGCUUACUGGACUGUAACUGACGUUGAGGCUCGAAGGCGUGGGGAGCAAACAGGAUUAGAUACCCUGGUAGUC
rnacentral:rRNA from 1 species